rnacentral:rRNA from 1 species
AAUAGAUACCCGGGUAGUCCAUGCCGUAAACGGUGGGCGCUAGGUGUAGGGGUCUUCCACGACUUCUGUGCCGCAGCUAACGCAUUAAGCGCCCCGCCUGGGGAGUACGGCCGCAAGGCUAAAACUCAAAGGAAUUGACGGGGGCCCGCACAAGCGGCGGAGCAUGUGGAUUAAUUCGAUGCAACGCGAAGAACCUUACCUGGGCUUGACAUGGACCGGAUCGGCGUAGAGAUACGUUUUCCCUUGUGGUCGGUUCACAGGUGGUGCAUGGUUGUCGUCAGCUCGUGUCGUGAGAUGUUGGGUUAAGUCCCGCAACGAGCGCAACCCUUGUCUUAUGUUGCCAGCACAUUGUGGUGGGUACUCAUGAGAGACUGCCGGGGUUAACUCGGAGGAAGGUGGGGAUGACGUCAAAUCAUCAUGCCCCUUAUGUCCAGGGCUUCACACAUGCUACAAUGGUCGGUACAGCGAGUCGCCGCACCGUGAGGUGGAGCUAAUCUCUUAAAGCCGGCCUCAGUUCGGAUUGGGGUCUGC